GACGAGAGAACCUCAUCUAGGUUUUGUUUUGGGCCAAACGAAGCGCAUCCUCCAACUUCCCCUCGCCGCCGCCUCAACUCCGGCCGCCGCUCGCCGCCCACCCAUCUCCCUCGAUGCCGGAGGACAUCCCCACCCACCAAAUCCCCUCCAUCCCGCUGUCCAACCCUUGCUCAUCGCCUCCUGGACCCGCCGGCGCCGUCGAGUAGCACCGCCCGAGGCUCAAGCCGUCGCCGUCGAGGAGCACCGCCCGAGGCUCAAGCCGGCGCUGGACCUCCUCCAUGGCGUCCGCGUCUACCUCUCCCUCCUCGGUCAAGUCCCGAUCUCCGUUUCCUGACCUUGAUUUUAUUCCUAUUGCUCAUGCUCUGUCCCGUGCAGAAAUUUUGGAGGGGGUCAUGGCCGGCCUCCCCCAUCUGCUGCUCUGCUGGUGACUGUGUGCUCGCCAGCACGGCCAAGGAGACGCCGACGACCACGCACCAUGAGUCGGCGACCUGGACAUGAUCGUCCAGGAGAACCCGACCACGGCGACGCCCACAGAAUAAGGGGAGAAGUGGAGCUGGAGCUUGUCAGGAGGUAGCGAUGGCUGCCAGAUCCGGCUGGAAGGAUGCGGUGGCCUUCUUUUUCGACUCCGUGGGUUUAGGAAAAUGAGGACUAAAUGAGAGACACGUGUCGCAGCUGGAACCUGUGGCUGCAGGCCAUCACUUGGAAGGAAGCUGGAAGACCCUGGGGACAAGCUUGGGAUAAGUGGAGCUGGCCCAGAGGGUAGCCAUGGCCGGAUCUCCCUUCUUCUUCGAAUCCGUGGAUUUAGCAUGUAAAGAAAGAAGAGCAAGAAGGCUACAAAGAAGGACCUGCCCAGAUCCUUUCACUUUCUGCAUGUAAUCUUCUUGGUGCUGUAGUUGGGAAGCGCGAACCAGGUGUCCCGUCGUGUGUAGUGCCGCUUUUCGGUCCUUGUAAUAUUCGGUAGUACUCGAUGUUGUAAAAUCCAUUUUUUUAAUGCUCCAGGCUUUGGAAGUUGUAACAAUUUGGUAAAUGUGCACGUGUGUGAUGUUUGUUCCUAGCUUGCGUUUCUUUGCGUUAGACUUGUCAGCAAGGUUGGAUCGUGUGGCUGUACGAACAUUUAUUCUACUACUAUAUUGUUUGAUUUGUGGUCUGAA